CGCGUAGGCGGGUCAGCAAGUCCGGGGUGAAAUCUUUCGGCUCAACCGGAAAAGUGCCUUGGAUACUGCUGGUCUAGAGGGAGGUAGGGGCAUGUGGAACUUCUGGUGGAGCGGUGAAAUGCGUUGAUAUCAGAAGGAACGCCGGUGGCGAAAGCGACGUGCUGGAUCUCUUCUGACGCUGAGGCGCGAAAGCCAGGGGAGCAAACGGGAUUAGAUACCCCGGUAGUCCUGGCCCUAAACGAUGGGAACUAGGUAGCGGACUAAACAUGGGUUCGCUGCCGAAGCUAAAGUGCUAAGUUCCCCGCCUGGGGAGUAUGGUCGCAAGGCUGAA
rnacentral:rRNA from 1 species